rnacentral:rRNA from 1 species
GAUGAACGCUGGCGGCGUGCCUAAUACAUGCAAGUCGAGCGAACAGAUGAGGAGCUUGCUCCUCUGACGUUAGCGGCGGACGGGUGAGUAACACGUGGAUAACCUACCUAUAAGACUGGGAUAACUUCGGGAAACCGGAUCUAAUACCGGAUAAUAUAUUGAACCGCAUGGUUCAAUAGUGAAAGACGGUUUUGCUGUCACUUAUAGAUGGAUCCGCGCCGCAUUAGCUAGUUGGUAAGGUAACGGCUUACCAAGGCAACGAUGCGUAGCCGACCUGAGAGGGUGAUCGCACACACUGGAACUGAGACAGGGUCCAGACUCCUACGGGAGGCAGCAGUAGGGAAUCUUCCGCAAUGGGCGAAAGCCUGACGGAGCAACGCCGCGUGAGUGAUGAAGGUCUUCGGAUCGUAAAACUCUGUUAUUUGGGAAGAACAAAUGUGUAAGUAACUAUGCACGUCUUGACGGUACCUAAUCAGAAAGCCACGGCUAACUACGUG